rnacentral:rRNA from 1 species
GUCGUAGCGGUUGCUAUACUGCAGUCGAGCGGACAGAAUGGGAGCUUGCUCCCUGAUGUUAGCGGCGGACGGGUGAGUAACACGUGGGUAACCUGCCUGUAAGACUGGGAUAACUCCGGGAAACCGGGGCUAAUACCGGAUGGUUGUUUGAACCGCAUGGUUCAGACAUAAAAGGUGGCUUCGGCUACCACUUACAGAUGGACCCGCGGCGCAUUAGCUAGUUGGUGAGGUAACGGCUCACCAAGGCAACGAUGCGUAGCCGACCUGAGAGGGUGAUCGGCCACACUGGGACUGAGACACGGCCCAGACUCCUACGGGAGGCAGCAGUAGGGAAUCUUCCGCAAUGGACGAAAGUCUGACGGAGCAACGCCGCGUGAGUGAUGAAGGUUUUCGGAUCGUAAAGCUCUGUUGUUAGGGAAGAACAAGUGCCGUUCAAAUAGGGCGGCACCUUGACGGUACCUAACCAGAAAGCCACGGCUAACUACGUGCCAGCAGCCGCGGUAAUACGUAGGUGGCAAGCGUUGUCCGGAAUUAUUGGGCGUAAAGGGCUCGCAGGCGGUUUCUUAAGUCUGAUGUGAAAGCCCCCGGCUCAACCGGGGAGGGUCAUUGGAAACUGGGGAACUUGAGUGCAGAAGAGGAGAGUGGAAUUCCACGUGUAGCGGUGAAAUGCGUAGAGAUGUGGAGGAACACCAGUGGCGAAGGCGACUCUCUGGUCUGUAACUGACGCUGAGGAGCGAAAGCGUGGGGAGCGAACAGGAUUAGAUACCCUGGUAGUCCACGCCGUAAACGAUGAGUGCUAAGUGUUAGGGGGUUUCCGCCCCUUAGUGCUGCAGCUAACGCAUUAAGCACUCCGCCUGGGGAGUACGGUCGCAAGACUGAAACUCAAAGGAAUUGACGGGGGCCCGCACAAGCGGUGGAACAUGUGGUUUAAUUCGAAGCAACGCGAAG